rnacentral:lncRNA from 1 species
UACUAUUAUAGUUACAAAAAACACAAGUAACAUAUGGUAAAUAACCCGGACAAAAAUUUGUUGUGUCAUUUUAAUACAAAAUAAAUAUAUGAUUUACUACCUGAUUUAAAUGUGUAGUUCAAUAAGAUACAAGAGCUAAUCACAAUAUAUACAAAUUGAAAUAUUGAAUAAAAAAUUAUGAUAAAACCAAGAAAUGCAAAGUUUACCUCAUUGAGUUAUAAGCUAAAUACCUCUAUUGUUGAAGAGGAGGGAAGAAUAUAACCAAAUAUGUAAG